UUUAGUUUUAAUGAUACUCCAACCAGCCAUUUACAACUCAAGGAAAAUUAGACUCCAAGAAGAGCAACUAUCUUGAGCCAAUGCCAAAAUAGAAAGGAUAUGGAGAUAUCAGAAGGUGUGUUCCUGAGUUGUUUUCUGGUCAUUGUCUCUAUUACUUUAUUGAUGCAUGAACUUUUAAUAUAAAAGCAACAUCAACAGAGAUAAAAAGGUGAUUUUCAGCUGAUGUACAACCACUUGGCAAAAAGGAUCUAUGAAAAAGCAAUAAUUAUUUAAAUUGGAGGUAAUGCUGGAGUGUUUGCGAACAUGACAUCCAUGUUAGUAGAAUAUUUACAAAAGACAAUAAUGCUUUUUUAGUAAAGUACAUCUGCUGACAGGAAGACAGAGCACCUUUCUAUGUUUUAUCAGGUCAUAGCUUCUCAUGUGUCUGUGUUAAUAUAGCAAGUAGAUCAAUGCAAGUAUAUCAAUGCAAGUAGAUCAAUGUACAAAUCAUUGUACAGUUGGGUUUUUUUCCUCUCAAAAAAAGAUGCAAAGUAAUUAGAAUAACAUGUUUUUUGAGCUUUACUGCAAAUUUCUUGUUUGAUAAUGAUAAUGAUGAUUAUUAAA
rnacentral:lncRNA from 1 species